rnacentral:rRNA from 1 species
CCUACGGGUGGCAGCAGUGAGGAAUAUUGGUCAAUGGACGAGAGUCUGAACCAGCCAAGUCGCGUGAAGGAUGACUGCCCUAUGGGUUGUAAACUUCUUUUAUAUGGGAAUAAAAUGUUCCACGUGUGGGAUUUUGUAUGUACCAUAUGAAUAAGGAUCGGCUAACUCCGUGCCAGCAGCCGCGGUAAUACGGAGGAUCCGAGCGUUAUCCGGAUUUAUUGGGUUUAAAUGGAGCGUAGGUGGAUUGUUAAGUCAUUUGUGAAAGUUUGCGGCUCAACAGUAAAAUUGCAGUUGAAACUGGCAGUCUUGAGUACAGUAGAGGUGGGCGGAAUUCGUGGUGUAGCGGUGAAAUGCUUAGAUAUCACGAAGAACUCCGAUUGCGAAGGCAGUUCACUGGACUGCAACUGACACUGAGGCUCGAAAGUGUGGGUAUCAAACAGGAUUAGAUACCCCAGUAGUC